AUCCUGAUGUGUACGUUGAAUUCAUGAUGUUUUGACCGAACAUUAAUAACAUUGGGAACCUGCUGUUCUUGUGUGGAGUGCAUGCCGCUAUACUUACGAAUCUAUUGCGGACGCACAAAGUACAGGACAAGGUACCCACCUGCUUGAAGCGGGAUCAAAACAUGUUUUCUUCAACGGCACAAUUGGGAUU
rnacentral:other from 1 species